rnacentral:lncRNA from 1 species
GUUUGUUUCUUCAUAGAGUGUCUAUAGGUCUCUUAAGGUGUUGCUAUCUAAGGUGAACACCUCAAAGCUGAAAAUGUUCCAUUGACGUCACGUUGGUGUGAAACCUGUUUACCUCGAUGCUAGACCCUCCUCUUCCUGUCACAACAUGGGUUUCAGAGAAAAGGACCACGAGCUGAAAACUUUCCAUUCGAUCGAACCAAUCGCUGCUCGUAUGUCCUUUCAUGGUAAAGUACAUCUAGUCGUUAACACGGAAAUAAGCAGCAAAGACCUUUAUACUCAAAGACCCAGCUACUCUCUGACAGUCACCAUCAGACCAUCAGACCACCAGAUGGACGGGCUGUGUGUCUCUCUGAUUGGAUCCUUAUGUGCUGUUUCCUCCAGUCAGGAUGGGAUCUCUACAGCAGAGGUCGAGCUGAGAGUCAGACCAGGAGACAACAUCACUCUCUACUGUGACUGUAACAUAACUACUGAAGUAUACAUUAUGUGGUAUAGGAACUGUUCUCACAAGUACCAGCCUCCUCUAGUUAUUUCAACUAAGUGUUUAAGUUCCAUCUCUCUCCCUGGAUAUGUGGUGUGAACCCCCUCUAACAACUCCUAUGAUCUACUGAUUGAGAACAUCACUGAAUCUGACUUGGGACUCUACUAAUGUGGGACUAUGGAGAACAAGGUAGUGGAUGAUGGAGGUAAAGGAGGUAUCAAAGUGAAAGAGUUGUACCACUAUGGAAACAUCACCACUAGGAUUUCACUUGAUACCAGUCCUCCUCCUCCUGUAGACUGUGGUCUGUGUUGGAUGUUGCUGUUCAGUCUGUGUCCUGUGUCUGCUCUCCUCUCCACUCUCCUCUCCUCCACCUGUCUACUCCUUCUACAGAACAACAGCUCCAACUGAGACUCAGGUUUCUCUGAACAGGACUACAACCAGGGGAAGUGACAGCAGAGAGCAGACUACAGUCAGAGGAAGGAGACCUGUGUCACACCUCAUUGGAUAUCCGUCAGGAACAGAGGAGACCAAGGAAGGAGUCCAGAACUCUGACUUCCGUACCUACUCAGCCAUCAAUACCAUCAGAGUGUGAGACCUGUACCAUCCAGCAAUACCAGCAAAGUGUGAGACCUGUACCAUCCAGCAAUACCAGCAGAGUGUGAGACCUAUACCAUCCAUCAAUACCAGCAGAGUGUGAGACCUGUACCAUCCAGCAAUACCAGCAAAGUGUGAGACCUGUACCAUCCAGCAAUACCAGCAGUGUGUGAGACCUGUACCAUCCAUCAAUACCAGCAGAGUGUGAGACCUAUACCAUCCAUCAAUACCAGCAGAGUGAGAGACCUAUACCAUCAAUCAAUACCAGCAUACUGAGAUCUAUACCAACAUUGCUUGAGGACAAGAAGGCAGCAGGAAUGAGCAGCAGAAACAGAGCUUUGGAGGCCACCCCCAGGACCCAGAUCAGACCACACUCAGGAAGGCAGCAGGAAUGAGGAGCAGAAACAGAGCUUUGGAGGCCACCACCAGGACCCAGAUCAGACCACAGUCAGCAGACACACCACAGUCAGGAAAGUCACAAGAGGUGAUGGUGUUGGAGUCUUCUGUAUAGUAGAGAGGUGAUGGUGUUGGAGUCCUCUGUACAGUAGAGAGGUGAUGGUGUUGGAGUCCUCUGUACAGUAGAGAGGUGAUGGUGGGGGAGUCCUCUGUACAGUAGAGAGGUGAUGGUGUGGGAGUCCUCUGUACAGUAGAGAGGUGAUGGUGUGGGAGUUAUCUGUACAGUAGAGAGGUGAUGGUGUGGGAGUCCUCUGUACAGUAGAGAGGUGAUGGUGUGGAAGUCCUCUGUACAGUAGAGAGUUGAUGGUGUGGGAGUCCUCUGAACAGUAGAGAGGUGAUGGUGUUGGAGUCCUCUGUACAGUAGAGAGGUGAUGGUGGGGGAGUCCUCUGUACAGUAGAGAGGUGUGGGUGUGGGAGUCUUCUGUACAGUAGAGAGGUGAUGGUGUUGGAGUCCUCUGUACAGUAGAGAGGUGAUGGUGGGGGAGUCCUCUAUACAGUAGAGAGGUGAUGGUGGGGGAGUCCUCUGUACAGUAGAGAGGUGAUGGUGUUGGAGUCCUCUGAACAGUAGAGAGGUGAUGGUGGAAGAGUCCUCUGUAGAGUAGAGAGGUGAUGGUGUUGGAGGCCUCUGUACAGUAGAGAGGUGAUGGUGUGGGAGUCCUCUGUACAGUAGAGAGGUGAUGGUGGG